GGCGAACGGGUGAGUAACACGUGGGCAAUCUGCCCUUCACUCUGGGACAAGCCCUGGAAACGGGGUCUAAUACCGGAUAACACCGGCUUCCGCAUGGAAGCUGGUUGAAAGCUCCGGCGGUGAAGGAUGAGCCCGCGGCCUAUCAGCUUGUUGGUGGGGUAAUGGCCCACCAAGGCGACGACGGGUAGCCGGCCUGAGAGGGCGACCGGCCACACUGGGACUGAGACACGGCCCAGACUCCUACGGGAGGCAGCAGUGGGGAAUAUUGCACAAUGGGCGAAAGCCUGAUGCAGCGACGCCGCGUGAGGGAUGUCGGCCUUCGGGUUGUAAACCUCUUUCAGCAGGGAAGAAGCGAAAGUGACGGUACCUGCAGAAGAAGCGCCGGCUAACUACGUGCCAGCAGCCGCGGUAAUACGUAGGGCGCAAGCGUUGUCCGGAAUUAUUGGGCGUAAAGAGCUCGUAGGCGGCUUGUCGCGUCGGGUGUGAAAGCCCGGGGCUUAACCCCGGGUCUGCAUCCGAUACGGGCAGGCUAGAGUGUGGUAGGGGAGAUCGGAAUUCCUGGUGUAGCGGUGAAAUGCGCAGAUAUCAGGAGGAACACCGGUGGCGAAGGCGGAUCUCUGGGCCAUUACUGACGCUGAGGAGCGAAAGCGUGGGGAGCGAACAGGAUUAGAUACCCUGGUAGUCC
rnacentral:rRNA from 1 species